rnacentral:lncRNA from 1 species
UGAUGAAGCGGUGGAAUUUACAGUACCUUGGACUGUCAGUGCGAUUCAUCUCUUCUGGCCGUUUGCACUCAGGCAAACCAAUCACCUUCUUUUCCAGCAAGUCUUCUAACAUGGCAACCACAUCAGAGUCGGGGAAUGGAUAAAUCUUCUCCUCAAGCUCCUUCAAAGUGCGUCUACGCAUCUCUUGAUCACGAAAAGCUUCGGUUUGAAUCGCCUUGCC